CGAGCAUCGAGCAAAUAAGUGCGCGCACACACACAUGCACACGUACGCAAGCAAAUGCAGAGAGACGAACAAAAUGGAGCUGAUUAAGCGACUGCAAAGAAGAACAACAACAACCGUUGACAACAGCCGAAGCGAGCCGAGUGAAUUGCAAUGCGCCGAGCAUUUGCGUCGACUUCGACUUCGACGUCGCCGUAAGCGUCUCUGCCGCGCCACUGCAUUGAAGUUGACAGCGCAGCCGAUUAAUUGAUAAGCAAGCGCGGAAACGCCAAAUGAGCGGAUAAGUAGACGUAGCAAGAAGCUGGCGAGCGGUAACAGCGAAGCAGAUCACCAAGAGAGCAAGUGCAAAAAUGGCACAUGCCUUAUGCAAAGCAGCGACUGCGACGGCGACUGCGACUGUGACUGUGACGCCGGAAGUGACGUUGUUGUUGUGCAUUUUUCAGGUGCAGCAAACGAUCGAUAUUUUUUUAUUUUUCUUCUUACUUUUUUAUAAAUUUGUAUAUAUUUACGAACAUUUAUUUGCUCAAUUAUCGGGCUUCCACUGUGCGUAAUUUUGGCAAUUGAAGCGUUUGAAAAAUAACUAAAUUGAUAAUAAGCCGUGGGGGAUCAAAAUGAACAAUGAAUUUAUAUUGGAAGCGA